rnacentral:rRNA from 1 species
UUCCGGUUGAUCCUGCCGGACCUGACUGCUAUCGGAUUGAUACUAAGCCAUGCUAGUCUUUGUAGUAAUACAAGGCAUACGGCUCAGUAACGCGUAGUCAACCUACCCUAUGGACGGGGAUAAUCUCGGGAAACUGAGCAUAAUACCCGGUAGACCACUUAUCCUGGAAUGGUUAGUGGUUAAAAUGAUUCGUCGCCAUAGGAUGGGACUGCGGCCUAUCAGCUUGUUGGUGAGGUAAUGGCCCACCAAGGCGAUUACAGGUACGGGCUCUGAGAGGAGAAGCCCGGAGAUGGGUACUGAGACAAGGACCCAGGCCCUAUGGGGCGCAGCAGGCGAGAAAACUUUGCAAUGUGCGAAAGCACGACAAGGUUAAUCCGAGUGAUUUCUGCUAAAGGAAUCUUUUGUUAGUUCUAAAAAUACUAGUGAAUAAGGGGUGGGCAAGUUCUGGUGUCAGCCGCCGCGGUAAAACCAGCACCUCAAGUGGUCAGGAGGAUUAUUGGGCCUAAAGCAUCCGUAGCCUGUUCUAUAAGUUUGCGGUUAAAUCUAUACGCUCAACGUAUAGGCUGCCGUAAAUACUGUAGAACUAGGGAGUGGGAGAGGUAGACGGUACUCGAUAGGAAGGGGUAAAAUCCUUUGAUCUAUUGAUGACCACCUGUGGCGAAGGCGGUCUACCAGAACACGUUCGACGGUGAGGGAUGAAAGCUGGGGGAGCAAACCGGAUUAGAUACCCGGGUAGUCCCAGCUGUAAACGAUGCAGACUCGAUGAUGCAAUGGCAUAGAGCUAUUGCAGUAUCGCAGGGAAGCCGUUAAGUCUGCCGCCUGGGAAGUACGUACGCAAGUAUGAAACUUAAAGGAAUUGGCGGGGGAGCACCACAAGGGGUGAAGCCUGCGGUUCAAUUGGAUUCAACGCCGG